CCUACGGGCGGCAGCAGUGAGGAAUAUUGGUCAAUGGCCGGAAGGCUGAACCAGCCAAGCCGCGUGAAGGAUGACUGCCCUACGGGUUGUAAACCUCUUUUAUAAAGGAAUAAAGUGUGCCACGUGUGCCUUUUUGUAUGUACUUUAUGAAUAAGGAUCGGCUAACUCCGUGCCAGCAGCCGCGGUAAUACGGAGGAUUCGAGCGUUAUCCGGAUUUAUUGGGUUUAAAGGGUGCGUAGGUGGGUUGUUAAGUUAGUUGUGAAAGUUUGCGGCUCAACCGUAAAAUUGCAAUUGAUACUGGCAGUCUUGAGUACAGUUGAGGUAGGCGGAAUUCGUGAUGUAGCGGUGAAAUGCUUAGAUAUCACGAAGAACUCCGAUUGCGAAGGCAGCUUACUAAACUGCCACUGACAUUGAUGCUCGAGAGUGUGGGUAUCAAACAGGAUUAGAUACCCCGGUAGUC
rnacentral:rRNA from 1 species